rnacentral:rRNA from 1 species
ACGUAGGGCGCGAGCGUUGUCCGGAUUUAUUGGGCGUAAAGAGCUCGUAGGCGGCUUGUCGCGUCGAAUGUGAAAACCUGCGGCUCAACUGCAGGCUUGCAUUCGAUACGGGCAGGCUCGAGUUCGGUAGGGGAGACUGGAAUUCCUGGUGUAGCGGUGAAAUGCGCAGAUAUCAGGAGGAACACCGGUGGCGAAGGCGGGUCUCUGGGCCGAUACUGACGCUGAGGAGCGAAAGCGUGGGGAGCGAACAGGA